rnacentral:rRNA from 1 species
UGUCCGGGCCGAAUGGGGCCUGGGUGGCAAAGCGAAAGCGUUAAGCAUCCCACCUGGGGAGUACGCCGGCAACGGUGAAACUCAAAGGAAUUGACGGGGGCCCGCACAAGCGGAGGAACAUGUGGUUUAAUUCGAUGAUACGCGAGGAACCUUACCCGGGCUCAAACGCGUCAGGGAUCCCCUCUGAAAGGAGGGGAGUCAGCAAUGACCUGGCGCGAGGUGCUGCAUGGUUGUCGUCAGCUCGUGCCGUGAGGUGUCGGCUUAAGUGCCAUAACGAGCGCAACCCCUACCGACAGUUGCUAACUGGUGAAGCAGAGGACUCUGUCGGGACUGCCGGCGCAAGCUGCGAGGAAGGCGGGGAUGACGUCAAAUCAGCACGGCCCUUACGUCCGGGGCGACACACGUGUUACAAUGGCAGGUACAGCGGGAAGCCACCGGGCGACCGGGCGCGGAACCCGAAAACCUGUCUCAGUUCGGAUCGGAGUCUGCAACCCGACUCCGUGAAGCUGGAUUCGCUAGUAAUCGCGCAUCAGCCACGGCGCGGUGAAUACGUUCCCGGGCCUUGUACACACCGCCCGUCAAGCCAUGGGAGCCGGGGGUGCCUGAAGUCCGUGACCGCAAGGGGCGGCCUAGGGUAAAACCGGUGACUGGGGCUAAGUCGUAACAAGGUAGCCGUACCGGAAGGUGCGGCUGGAACACCUCCUUU